rnacentral:ncRNA from 1 species
UAAAGUUUUAUUAUUAUUUGAAGGAUUAAGUUAAAUUUAAUAUUUACAUGCAAAUAUUUGUGUGAAGGGGAGGAUUUAUUUAAAUAGUGAGUGAUUAGGGGUUAUUCGCAGUAGAUAGUCUUAAAUAUUAAUGAAAAUUAGAUUUGGGGAAAAUUUUUAAUAUUAACAAAAUUUGUGCCAGCAGUUGCGGUUAUACAAAUAAUAUGACUUAAUUAGUAAUUAGUAUCAAUAUGUAAGUAUUUAAUAAAUUUUUAGGGGAAAUUUAUUGGGUGAAAUUUUAAAUUUUUAAUUAAAUUUAUAUUAGCUUAUUAGUUGAGAAAUUUUUUUAAUAGACUAGGAUUAGAUACCCUAUUAUUAAAAAUGUAAAAUUAUACUAGAUUAGUAGUAGUUAUGUUCUUGAAAAUUGAAGAUUUUGGCGGUUUUUUAGUCUAUUCAGAGGAACCUGUUCUAUAAAUGAUAGUCCACGAGUUAAAAGUCUUUUUUUAAAAGUUUAUAUAUCGUCGUAGUUUGAAUAUUUUAUAAGAAUUUAAAUAUUCAAAAUUUAUUUUUUAAAAAAAAUCAGAUCAAGGUAUAGCGUAUAAGAAAGAAGUAAUGGGUUACAAUAAUUAUAAUUGGGGAAUAAUUUUUGGAAAAGAUUAUGAAUUUGGAUUUGAAAGUAAUUUUAUUAAAUUGAUAAAAUGAUUUUAGCUCUAAAAUAUGCACAUAUCGCCCGUCGCUUUCAUUUUAAGGUGGAAUAAGUCGUAACAGAGUAGGCUUACUGGAAAGUGGGUCUUGAAAGGC